UUGACCUCGGAUCAGGUAGGGAUACCCGCUGAACUUAAGCAUAUCAAUAAGGGGG
rnacentral:rRNA from 1 species